GCCCGCUUAGCUCAGUGGUAGAGCGUCUCAGCAUUGCCGUCCCCUAAUACCUCCUUAGAACAGCGUGCUUGAUGAGAAGAGCAUCAGUUCGAUCCUGAUAGCGGGUG